rnacentral:rRNA from 1 species
AUACGUAGGGGGCGAGCGUUGUCCGGAAUGACUGGGCGUAAAGGGCGUGUAGGCGGUUGAAUAAGGCUGGAGUGAAAGUCCCGGUUUCAAGUUUGGAACUGCUUUGGAUACUGUUCAACUUGAGUGCGGAAGAGGUAAGUGGAAUUCCCAGUGUAGCGGUGAAAUGCGUAGAGAUUGGGAGGAACACCAGUGGCGAAGGCGACUUACUGGGCCGUAACUGACGCUGAGGCGCGAAAGCGUGGGGAGCGAACAGGAUUAGAUACCCUGGUAGUCCACGCGGUAAACGAUGAAUGCUAGGUGUUGCGGGUAUCGACCCCUGCAGUGCCGGAGUAAACACAAUAAGCAUUCCGCCUGGGGAGUACGGCCGCAAGGUUGAAACUCAAAUGAAUUGACGGGG